rnacentral:rRNA from 1 species
AGAAUGAACGUUGGCGGCGUGGAUUAGGCAUGCAAGUCGUACGGGCCGCAAGGCCAGUGGCGUAAGGGUGAGUAAGGCGACGGUAACCAACCCCAUGAUUGGGUAUAGCCGCGGGAAACUGCGGGUAAUCCCCAGCGACGUCCGCCGGAGACCUCUCUGGCGGACCAAAGCUCCGGCGUCGUGGGACGGGCUGUCGUGGUAUUAGGUUGUUGGCGGGGUAACGGCCCACCAAGCCUGCGAUGCCUACCGGGCGUGCGAGCGUGGCCCGGCACACUGGGACUGAGACACUGCCCAGACUCCUACGGGAGGCUGCAGUCGAGAAUCUUCGGCAAUGGGCGCAAGCCUGACCGAGCGACGCCGCGUGGAGGACGAAGGCCUUCGGGUUGUAACUCCUGUCGAGGGGAGAAGGCCUGAAGGGCUUGACUGAUCCCUGGAGGAAGCGACGGGCUAAGUUCGUGCCAGCAGCCGC